AUUGAACGCUGGCGGAAUGCUUUACACAUGCAAGUCGAACGGUAGAGGGGGCAACCCCUUGAGAGUGGCGAACGGGUGAGUAAUAUAUCGGAACGUGCCCAGUCGUGGGGAUAACGUAGCGAAAGUUACGCUAAUACCGCAUACGAUCUACGGAUGAAAGCGGGGGACUCGCAAGAGCCUCGCGCGAUUGGAGCGGCCGAUAUCAGAUUAGGUAGUUGGUGGGGUAAAGGCUCACCAAGCCAACGAUCUGUAGCUGGUCUGAGAGGACGACCAGCCACACUGGAACUGAGACACGGUCCAGACUCCUACGGGAGGCAGCAGUGGGGAAUUUUGGACAAUGGACGCAAGUCUGAUCCAGCCAUUCCGCGUGCAGGAUGAAGGCCCUCGGGUUGUAAACUGCUUUUGUACGGAACGAAAAGGUUUCUAUUAAUACUAAGGAGCUCAUGACGGUACCGUAAGAAUAAGCACCGGCUAACUACGUGCCAGCAGCCGC
rnacentral:rRNA from 1 species